UACGGAGGGUGCAAGCGUUAAUCGGAAUUAUUGGGCGUAAAGGGCUCGUAGGCGGUCUGUUGCGUCGGCUGUGAAAACCCGCGGCUUAACUGCGGGCUUGCAGUUGAUACGGGCAGGCUAGAGUUCGGUAGGGGAGACUGGAAUUCCACGUGUAGCGGUGAAAUGCGUAGAGAUGUGGAGGAACACCAGUGGCGAAGGCGACUCUUUGGCCUGUAACUGACGCUGAGGCGCGAAAGCGUGGGGAGCAAACAGG
rnacentral:rRNA from 1 species